rnacentral:rRNA from 1 species
GGCGAGGCCGAGAGGCGUAGUCGAUGCACAACAGGUUGAUAUUCCUGUACCACCGCGUUCGCGUCCAUUCCAAAGUGGGGAUACUAAGGGGCUGACCUUCGGGUCGAACUGACCAGCCCCGCGGCGGAAAGCAAUGGAGGGACGGAGGAGGAUAGGUGAGCCCAGGCGUUGGUUGUCCUGGGGUAAGUGCGUAGGGCGAGGUGUAGGUAAAUCCGCACUUCAUGAUGCCUGAGACACGAUGCCGAGCCAUUAGGCGAAGUCACUGAUUCCAUGCUCCCAAGAAAAUCUUCUAGCGAGUUGACAUGGCGCCCGUACCCCAAACCGACACAGGUGGAUGGGUAGAGAAUACCAAGGCGAUCGGGAGAACUCUAGUUAAGGAACUCGGCAAAAUACAUCCGUAACUUCGGGAGAAGGAUGGCCUUACUAGCGUGUAGGACUUCGCGUCCGAAGCGUGAGAAGGUCGCAGAGAAUUGUGGGGAGCGACUGUUUACCAAAAACACAGGAGCGUGCUAAGUCGUAAGACGCCGUAUACGCUCUGACGCCUGCCCGGUGCUGGAAGGUUACGGGGAUCGGUUAGCUUUCGGGCGAAGCUGAGAACCUAAGCCCCAGUAAACGGCGGCCGUAACUAUAACGGUCCUAAGGUAGCGAAAUUCCUUGUCGGGUAAGUUCCGACCUGCACGAAUGGCGUAACGACUUCCCAACUGUCUCAACUACAGACCCGGCGAAAUUGAAGUACGAGUAAAGAUGCUCGUUAGCUGCAUCAGGACGGAAAGACCCCGUGCACCUUUACUACAACUUGAUGUUGGGUUUUGGUUUAGUUUGUGUAGGAUAGGUGGGAGGCUUUGAAGCAUUGACGCUAGUCAGUGUGGAGCCACUGUUGAAAUACCACCCUUUCUACGCCGGAACCCUAACCUUGGUCCGUAAUCCGGAUCAGGAACAGCGUCAGGCGGGUAGUUUGACUGGGGCGGUCGCCUCCUAAAAUGUAACGGAGGCGCCCAAAGGUUCCCUCAGGCUGGUUGGCAAUCAGCUGUUGAGUGCAAUGACACAAGGGAGCUUGACUGCGAGACUUACAGGUCGAGCAGGUACGAAAGUAGGGCAUAGUGAUCCGGCGGUUGCUUGUGGAAGCGCCGUCGCUCAACGGAUAAAAGGUACCCCGGGGAUAACAGGCUCAUCUUCCCCAAGAGUCCAUAUCGACGGGAAGGUUUGGCACCUCGAUGUCGGCUCGUCGCAUCCUGGGGCUGAAGCCGGUCCCAAGGGUUGGGCUGUUCGCCCAUUAAAGCGGUACGCGAGCUGGGUUCAGAACGUCGUGAGACAGUUCGGUCCCUAUCCGAUGCAGCCGUAAGUGAAUUGAGAAAGGUUGUCCCUAGUACGAGAGGACCGGGACGAACGCAGCUCUCGUGUGACAGUUGUCCUGCCAAGGGCAUGGCUGUUUUGCGACCUGCGGGUGGGAUAAGCGCUGAAAGCAUCUAAGUGCGAAGCCCGUUUCAAGAUAAAAUCACUCACUGGGUUAACCAGGUAAGGCCCGUGGCCAGACGACCACGUUGAUAGGCCGGAAGUGUAAGUGCGGUAACGCAUUCAGCUGACCGGUACUAAUCGGCCGAGGGCUUGGAGU